rnacentral:rRNA from 1 species
GUGGGGAAUUUUGGACAAUGGGCGCAAGCCUGAUCCAGCCAUUCCGCGUGCAGGAUGAAGGCCUUCGGGUUGUAAACUGCUUUUGUACGGAACGAAAAGGUUCUCUCUAAUACAGGGGGCUGAUGACGGUACCGUAAGAAUAAGCACCGGCUAACUACGUGCCAGCAGCCGCGGUAAUACGUAGGGUGCAAGCGUUAAUCGGAAUUACUGGGCGUAAAGCGUGCGCAGGCGGUGAUGUAAGACAGAUGUGAAAUCCCCGGGCUCAACCUGGGAACUGCAGUUGUGACUGCAUUGCUGGAGUGCGGCAGAGGGGGAUGGAAUUCCGCGUGUAGCAGUGAAAUGCGUAGAUAUGCGGAGGAACACCGAUGGCGAAGGCAAUCCCCUGGGCCUGCACUGACGCUCAUGCACGAAAGCGUGGGGAGCAAACAGGAUUAGAAACCCCAGUAGUCC